CAUGCACGUGCAUGAAGAUGGAUAUUGGACCUUGAACUUGGCGCUCUGUUUACACACAAUAUUCAGUGUCAUUUUGUGAGUUGAAGGUAAAAUAUCCAAAAAUUGACGAAAAUGAACAACUCUUACCAGACGAACAAAAGUGAAAUUUUUCGACUGACCCUUAUGAAGAAAAAGUUUGACGACGAGCAAUCUUCCGACUCCGAAUUCUCCGACGGUUUCGAUGGUCGCCUAGACGAAGAAUUCAACCAAAUGAUCAAGAAGAUGAA